CAGAAGUCCAGCUCAUAGACAGCAAGAACCUUCUCAGAGUGUGUCAAAUUGCCCCUGAGAUGGGGAGACUUAGAUGGCACUAAUGGAAAUCAAAUGGCCAAGCUCAGCUUUCUGAAUGGUGGCUCUGUGAACAGGAACCUUGUUGAUCUCCUUCUCCACAGUAUCCUCAUGAACUACCACAGGGUUGCAGACAGGAGACAUGCAACAAAUAAUUGUGGAGCAAAUACUGUUAUUUAGCUGCCUGCCACUUCUCAUGACCUAGGGCUCUUAAAGCCCAUAUCUGGAGAAAAUCACCCAGUGGUGACAAUGGAAGGAAAAAUGACCAUUUAUUUAUUGAGCAACUGCUAUGUCAGGCAUUUCACGCAUGGUAACUUUGUAUCUUAGAUUGUACAAGGUUAAUAUUAUUAAUUCAAGUUUUAUAGAUAUUGAAAAUGAGGUGAAAUGAUGUGCCCAAAGGCAUAAAGCUAGAGUGAAACCCAUGUAUAUUUGUUUUCAGAGUCAAUAUUUACUAUUACCAGCUUUGUCUUUAUCACACAAUCUUUGUAUUAUCCUGACCUUGAGGAUGUUAUUAUUCUUUACAGUAUGGGAUACAGUAACACUUAGGUAAAUAUAGUAUUUGUUUGCAUAUUUUCUGUCCUAACUAUAGACAUGGAUAUAUU
rnacentral:lncRNA from 1 species